GACGAACGCUGGCGGCGUGCUUAACACAUGCAAGUCGAACGGAAAGGCCCUGCUCUUGUGGGGUGCUCGAGUGGCGAACGGGUGAGUAACACGUGAGUAACCUGCCCUUGACUUUGGGAUAACUUCAGGAAACUGGGGCUAAUACCGGAUAGGAGCUCCUGCUGCAUGGGGGGGGAUGGAAAGUUUCGGCGGUUGGGGAUGGACUCGCGGCUUAUCAGCUUGUUGGGGGGGUUGUGGCUUACCAAGGCUUUGACGGGUAGCCCGCCUGAGAGGGUGACCGGCCACAUUGGGACUGAGAUACGGCCCCGACUCCUACGGGACGCAGCAGUGGGGAAUAUUGCACAAUGGGCGGAAGCCUGAUGCAGCAACGCCGCGUGCGGGAUGACGGCCUUCGGGUUGUAAACCGCUUUCGCCUGUGACGAAGCGUGAGUGACGGUAAUGGGUAAAGAAGCACCGGCUAACUACGUG
rnacentral:rRNA from 1 species